GACGAACGCUGGCGGCGUGCUUAACACAUGCAAGUCGAACGUGAUUUUUGUGGAAAUUCUUUCGGGAAUGGAAGUGAAAUGAAAGUGGCGAACGGGUGAGUAACACGUGAGCAACCUACCUUACACAGGGGGAUAGCCGUUGGAAACGACGAUUAAUACCGCAUGAGACCACAGAAUCGCAUGAUAUAGGGGUCAAAGAUUUAUCGGUGUAAGAAGGGCUCGCGUCUGAUUAGCUAGUUGGAAGGGUAAAGGCCUACCAAGGCGACGAUCAGUAGCCGGUCUGAGAGGAUGAACGGCCACAUUGGAACUGAGACACGGUCCAAACUCCUACGGGAGGCAGCAGUGGGGAAUAUUGCACAAUGGGGGGAACCCUGAUGCAGCGACGCCGCGUGAGCGAAGAAGGUUUUCGAAUCGUAAAGCUCUGUCCUAUGAGAAGAUAAUGACGGUAUCAUAGGAGGAAGCCCCGGCUAAAUACGUG
rnacentral:rRNA from 1 species